GGAGUUGUCCUCCAACUGCUUCUCUCUGCCCUGAUGACACCUGACUCUCCAGACAAACCACAAAAUAUGCAAAGGAAGGAAGCAGCUGAUGUUCCAGGUGUGGAAGUCCAAGGUCAUCGGUGGUUUCUGUCCCGGCAGAGUUUAUUCCAAUCCACAGUGCUGGGCAAGCCGCCUCUUCCCACCUGAGGACAGCAAAGACGGGGCAUCCGCUGUUCUGUUAACUAUGGAGAAGCAGGCUCUUCCAGGACCACUGAGCAACCCCUUCCCAGGGACUUCAACACCAGCAUCUCAUGAGCAUCGGGUGAAAGCUGCCUAAGAUACCUACCAGCUGUAGGUGCAAGAGCUAAAAGUCCACAGAACUUUCCUGGACUCUUCCUGUUUCUUCAAAGCUUAAGAGGGAACUGGAAUUUGAAUAAAUCACAAUGUGCAUAAUAGUGUCUCACAUGCUUAAGUGAGAGGCAGAACAAGCUUAAGCCUGUACUGCAGUAUAAAACUGACAUUUUGUUUUCAAAUGUAUCCUUCUGUAAUUCUGGUUAAUGUUUCUCUUCUGCAAGGUUUCAGUUUAAAAUAAACACAAGUUCUUCUCUAAA
rnacentral:lncRNA from 1 species